AUGAAAAUUAAGGGAGGUGUCCUGGGGACCAAGCUGAGGCCAUUACUCGACAAACUAAGUCAGAACCAAGGCAUUGAGAUGAGACGUGAAACUGUGCUCCGUGGCCUCAUAGUCUACCUUGGAGAGAAAGAAGAGGAACCAUUUGAAGAUUGCCUGGAGGACAACCGCAGUGAUGCCACUCAGCACAUCCUAAAGAUUCUGGUUGUCCAUGGGCCGGAUUGAGAAGAUCCAAUGGAUGUAUCCAUCCUUCUUGAAGGCCAGGAGAUGUUGCCAGGAUG